rnacentral:rRNA from 1 species
AAAUCCGGAAAAUCAAGGCUGAGGCGUGAUGACGAGGCACUACGGUGCUGAAGCAACAAAUGCCCUGCUUCCAGGAAAAGCCUCUAAGCAUCAGGUAACAUCAAAUCGUACCCCAAACCGACACAGGUGGUCAGGUAGAGAAUACCAAGGCGCUUGAGAGAACUCGGGUGAAGGAACUAGGCAAAAUGGUGCCGUAACUUCGGGAGAAGGCACGCUGAUAUGUAGGUGAAGUCCCUUGCGGAUGGAGCUGAAAUCAGUCGAAGAUACCAGCUGGCUGCAACUGUUUAUUAAAAACACAGCACUGUGCAAACACGAAAGUGGACGUAUACGGUGUGACGCCUGCCCGGUGCCGGAAGGUUAAUUGAUGGGGU